rnacentral:rRNA from 1 species
AUUGAACGCUGGCGGCAGGCUUAACACAUGCAAGUCGAGCGGGGGAGGUUGCUUCGGUAACUGACCUAGCGGCGGACGGGUGAGUAAUGCUUAGGAAUCUGCCUAUUAGUGGGGGACAACAUUCCGAAAGGGAUGCUAAUACCGCAUACGCCCUACGGGGGAAAGCAGGGGAUCUUCGGACCUUGCGCUAAUAGAUGAGCCUAAGUCGGAUUAGCUAGUUGGUGGGGUAAAGGCCUACCAAGGCGACGAUCUGUAGCUGGUUUGAGAGAAUGAUCAGCCACACUGGAACUGAGACACGGUCCAGACUCCUACGGGAGGCAGCAGUGGGGAAUAUUGGACAAUGGGCGCAAGCCUGAUCCAGCCAUGCCGCGUGUGUGAAGAAGGCCUUCGGGUUGUAAAGCACUUUCAGCGAGGAGGACGAGUUGUGUGUUAAUAGUACACAGCUUUGACGUUACUCGCAGAAGAAGCACCGGCUAACUCUGUGCCAGCCGCCGCUGUAAUAC